rnacentral:tRNA from 4 species
GCGGAUGUGGUGAAAUUGGUAUACACGCUAGACUUAGGAUCUAGUGCCUCACGGUGUGGAAGUUCGAGUCUUCUCAUCCGCACCA